AUAAUACGUUGCCGAAGAAGUGAAUGAGAUAUUUAAUAAAGAAGUUGUAAAAAGUGUAUAGGUUAUAACGCUUCUGCUGUCGCGAGCUCACGCGCAUGCGCUUCAGAGCCUCAAGUCCUCAUUUGACGUCGGAAUACCGAUAGAGCCUUUUAAGGUUUCUAGCUACUGGUGAAAGUUACAGAAGUUUGGAAUAUUCUACAAGGAUUCCAGCGUGUACGAUUUCUCGUAUAAUACCUGAAACAUGUCGUUUUAUAUAUGAGCUCCUUCGAGAGAAUUACUUAAAGACACCAAAUACAACUGUAGAAUGGGAACAAAUUGCAGAUGAUUAUCAACGAUUAUGGAAUGUUCCAAAUUGUAUUAAUUCCAUGGAUGGGCGGCAUAUAGAAUUUAGAGCACCUUUACAGGAUGGAUCAUUAUACUAUAAUUACAAAGGCACUAACAGUAUUGUUCUCUUAGCACUAGUAAACGCGCAAUAUCAAUUCACAUACGUCAAUGUGGGAGUUAACGGUAGAGUAAGUGAUGGAGGAGUUUUCCGUGAUAGUGACUUUGCAAAACUGUUAAAUAAUGCACAAAAUCCAUUGAAUGUGCCACAAGAUAAGUCAUUACCUGGCAUAAACGAAUCUAUUCCAUACGUUAUAUUAGCUGAUGCUGCUUUCCCAUUACAAAAUCAUUUAUUAAAACCAUAUCCUUCACGAAAUUUAUCUCAUGACGAGCGGAUAUGCAAUUAUAGAAUAAGCAGAGGUAGAAGAGUUGUCGAAAAUGUAUUUGGCAUAUUAGCAAAUAAAUUUUGAGUUCU